GACGAACGCUGGCGGCGUGCUUAACACAUGCAAGUCGAACGGAAAGGCCCUGCUUUUGUGGGGUGCUCGAGUGGCGAACGGGUGAGUAACACGUGAGUAACCUGCCCUUGACUUUGGGAUAACUUCAGGAAACUGGGGCUAAUACCGGAUAGGAGCUCCUGCUGCAUGGUGGGGGUUGGAAAGUUUCGGCGGUUGGGGAUGGACUCGCGGCUUAUCAGCUUGUUGGUGGGGUAGUGGCUUAUCAAGGCUUUGACGGGUAGCCGGCCUGAGAGGGUGACCGGCCACAUUGGGACUGAGAUACGGCCCAGACUCCUACGGGAGGCGGCAGUGGGGAAUAUUGCACAAUGGGCGGAAGCCUGAUGCAGCAACGCCGCGUGCGGGAUGACGGCCUUCGGGUUGUAAACCGCUUUCGCCUGUGACGAAGCGUGAGUGACGGUAAUGGGUAAAGAAGCACCGGCUAACUACGUG
rnacentral:rRNA from 1 species